CAGAACUCGACCUGUAGGUUCUUACUGAAUACUGAGGCUUGUCAGACUAGUGAGAUGCUAUUGGCAAGGGUUGUCAUGAAACUUAGAGGCAUGGAUAGUGUCCUCAAAAGAGAAAAAAGGACAUUCAGCCCUCUGUGAAAGAUGAUUGCCAUGGUAAUGGUCAUUCUCUGCAUGUGACAUAUGCUUAGAAGUGACCGGUUGUACUCUUGACCCAGAACAAGUGUAUCGGCAUGAAAAGUCCUGAACUUAGCACUGAAGACAAGGAGCUUAGUAACAAAUUGCCUGCAAAACUGCCACAUCAACCAGAUGAGGAGGAUCUUGGAGUUUGCCCUGAACCAAUCGGGUUGAUUUGUAUCCAGAGGCCAAGUUGCUGUGCUAUGUUAUGGCAGCUCCCCUGAAGAUUUAGAAUGCAGAUAGAUGUAGAUUCUAAGGAGAGAGCCACCCCAUCAUACCUCAAAAGGGCCCC